GUAUGACUGCUUUGAAGCCGUGCUUCUCCGAAUAUGGCUUUAAUUAAAUGCCUUCCGGCUGUAAAAGAUUACAUGUUGUGCAAAAUAUAUCCUAGCAUGAAAUUUACUUCCACGAUACGAAAUUAGGUUACUUAUAAAUGUCUUCAUUUAAAAAAGAAAAUCGCUUCUCCUCGUUCUGUUUUCUGUUUUGUUAAACAGAGAUCUCAAACGAGGAAAGAGGGUAGAGAUAAUAUAUUUAUAGAGGCACGUGUAACAAAACCUGCCAGAAGCGGAGUGGGUGAGGGCUGCUUGCUCAAAUGCAGACAAUUCACAAAACAGGCAAGUUAAUCCAGAUCUGAUUUGUUUCAGAUCCAGCUGUCAGAAACCCGGAAUACCUCCCGCGCCUCACGCCGCAGAUACCGAACGUGUUCUUACCGCCCACGUCCCCCAGCGUCCCUUCCUCCUGCCUUUAUUCCGUGAGAGGUCGAGGGGAGAGGGGUCAGGGCAAACAGGUGGAGAAAGGUGACUAUCUCAACUCGUGAAAUAUAAUAAUUCUUGCGAUAUGGAGGAUAACGCCUCCAUAUCGCAACGCCUUGGUUACACUAGGACCAGUCAGUCCGGCAAAGCAGUUUCACUCUGCCAGUGAAACCGCGCUCAGUGUCAGGAGCCUUCCCGCUCCGGACGGUGGAUGCAGGAGGAAUUCAGGCUGCUGGAGGCGAUGCUCUGUUUUCCGCUGAGACCCUGACAAAAGAGGCUGUAGCUCGAUCCAGAUGCGAGAUAAACGUAUAAAGCAAGCUCAUUACACGGGAAUAAGUGAAGAACUCUCCUUGCAAUCUACUCUAGAUAACGAGUCUGCCCGAAGAAACAAGUAAAGCCGAGAUAUUUACUUCUCUUCCUAAUAAAUAAACCUUAAUAACUGCAUUGACUUUGCGCAGUGUUUACUACAUUUCCAUUCAUUGCUUGGGUAAAUGCAUCCCUAAAGGCAGAGUAAAUAAUUGCAGUGAUCUCAACAAGGGAAAUGUGUAGACAUUUGAAGUGUACUAAAAAUAAACGAAGGCAAAGAGACUGAAGAGAGAGGACACCGCGCCGUUUGCCGUAAUUAAAGCCUCUGCUUUCUCUCGCUGGAAUCCGAGACUUCCAGAGCGCAGCCGGGGUGACACGUUCCCCGCUGGUGUCACCGGCUCGGCACACGAGUGGCCGUGGGGAGCCGAGGCUGAACCCGGCGUGUCUGGGCUCGGGAGGGCUCGGCGCGGCGCUUGGCUCGGGGGUGAGACUGGCCGCUACCGCAGGAGAAAUCGCAGCCUCUCUGAUGAUUUAAAAGAGCCUCGAGUUUCCAUUCUCCUCUGAGCCCUUCCAAGAUGGGCAUUUAAGAGUGGUGGCGGGUUGGGGUUUUUGUUUUGUUUUGUUUUUAGUUUUUAAUUGCAUUUCAUCUUGUUCUGCCAGAUAAAGGUUUUUUUAUUUCAUUGUUGUUAGGAUUCUUUUUCUUUCAUUUGAAAAGAAAACAAAACAACAUAAGUCCCCGCUAAAACAAACAUCUGCUUCAGCAGCACCCGGGCAGGCGGGGACUCCUGCCAAGUGAAAGCCUCACAGGCGGAGGUCUGCAAACCUGCGGCUGCGUUCGGGGAGGUCCCCCGACCCUCGGAGGGGAAGAUCUCCCCACACCGCUGCCACGUAAGGGUCCCAGCGGAGGGGCGAAGGAGGCACAGCCAAGCGCUCAGUCUCUCUGCGGGGCUCGCGUACAUCCAGACCAGGCUCGCCGUAUGGGCAGAGGGAGAGACCUGUCAGCGGGAUUUCACUGAAGGCGGUGUGGGUGCACACCUGACCAGGUGCGGGAGGAGGCGGGUGGCCAGGGCCUCCGCGGGGGUACCUGCCUCCAGCUGAGCAGCCACUCGCUUGAAACCUAAUUGCAUUUUAAAGCAGGUAUACACUCCCCCCCUCCCCCCCAUACACAUACCCCCCAUCAGGGACAACAACCAACGACAACAACACAACAAAACAUUAACCAAACAAAAAGCUCCAAUCUGCGACUCUCUGCGGAGCCACACGUUGAAUGAAUCUAUCUGUAAGGUUUUAAUCACAGCCAAGGCUUCGCUACAAAUCUGUACAAGAGACAGUGGCUGGUUCUCUCUGGAUCUUUCCCCUUCUGACUCCUAUUAUUUUGACCCAGGCUACAAUAUAGAAAGCGGCGUGUGUGAUCCAUCUGCAAGGCUGGGCUGGGGUUUACCUCCCCCUCUGCUUCCCUGCCACUUCCUUCACACUCGCGGACCUUUCCAGCUGCUGUGGCCGGUGUGAGACAGAAAGCGCUCUCCCGGACUCUGGUGUGAAUUGGGGAGAGGGGAUACACAAUCCCAGAGCUCAGCCCUCAGCCCGUGCACACUCCUUCUGGAGGAACGUCGCCCGAGGAACGCCGUCAGCCCUCGCACCUCUCCCCAUGAACCAAAAAACAAGAUCAACCACCCGAAAGAGGGACUCCGCUUGCAGAGCCCACCCUAGCCAACACCUCAGCAGAACUUCCCGGGAAGGAUGGGAUGAGAAACAGAACGGGAAUGUUUGUUUUCCCCUGUUGUUGUUAUUGAACGCAUGAAUGAAUGAAUGGAUGACUGAAUGAAUGGAAGCUGCUCGGAGGCAUAUAGGAAGCUUCUGACCGCUUACACUAACUUCCUAUUACACCCUAAAAAUAGAAUCCCGUUUCCUGUUUGUCAGCUCCUUCUAACUGUUGUGUCUGUUGUGUGACAUCUUUCGACUCACAAAUGUGACCUUAAACCACGCAAACACACUUUGGCCCUUUGAAAGCGGUACCCACAAACAUCAUUAAAGUGACGCGGUUUAAGGUGACACCGAGGACCGGUCGUACGAAGUCACCCAGUCCUGGGGCACAGGGAGCCCGGUGCGUGGUGCCACGCUCUCCACCCGCCAGCGGGGCAGGCAAGGACGGCGGGGGAGAAGGGAAGGGAGGUUAGCAUUGCCCCAGCGGCUCUCAGCCAGCCCGGGCGUGGAGAGAUACUGGCCCUAAUCCUGCUCGGGAUGCAAAGGCCUCCUUGCUCUCCAGACGAGCGAGGGUGACUUGCGGAGAACAUUCCCUGGGGAUAUUAUACCGGGGGGUGAGGAGAGGGAAAGCCGGCCAGGGAUGCGCGGUGGUACUGACGGUCCGGAGGGAAUAGAGCGCAGAGCAGGGCACAGGGUAUAUCCCCAUCGCCCCCGACCGGGGCUGCAACCCAGACCUCCGGGAACUCGGGCUCGGCCGUUGAAAGAGCGGGGAAGCCAGGAAAGGGGGGUCACAUGCGGUUAAUUCCUGCUGCCUUUCCCGGGGACGGACGUGUGCUCACAGGAGGCCGUGCAAGGGUCCCGCCUCAGGACAGUCCCAAGCCUCCCCCUAACUCGCACGUUGCCCCGUCCAGCCAGGCUCCUGGCCCGUCCGGCCCCGCGCAGCUCUCGGGUAGCUCAACUGAGGCAAGGCAGCUCCCCUCGUGGGCUCCCGCUCCCCACUCGUGACUUCUGCCUGCUCCCUUUCGGAGGCACUUGAGGGCGAGGGGACUAGGAUGUGUAGGGUGCCCGUCCCCACCCCUUUUUCACGAGUCACCCACCCUGGGAAGUGAGCUCUCCACUGUUCUGAUGCAUCCAGAGCUAUUGAUUCAGGUCUAAUUUCUCCAGAAAGAGGCCAGUGAUGGAGAUCGGCUGCACGCAAAUGGGAGCCAGGGAGGUCCGGUGCCCGGCAGCGCAGGCUCCCCAGCGGGCAGGGACCUCCCGGGUGCCCUGGCAUCCCCCGCCAGAGCGCGGGCCCGGGACCUGCCUGAACCUCGGAAAAGAAAUAUCCCUGCAAUUGCGCUUCUGCCAGGGCAUGGCUCGAGCUCCUAUUGCUCCCCAACUCCCCCAUCUCCCCCCACUCCGCCCUCCCCCCGCGACCCCCGGUGGGCCUAAUUAAAUUGGGGAAAAUUAUCGGUGUGAGGUUGGACGGAGUCAACUGUCUUGACGACAGACGAGGAUGACUGAGCACCGCGGGGGAAGAGCAGCGCCGGGUUUCCAGCUCUUCCCUCCGGCCGGCGCCCACUGACGGCUCGGCGGGGGCUCCGCAUCCCCGCGGCGCCGCCGCUCCCCCUGGCCCACAUCCGGAGCCGCUGCUCGUCCCGCUCGCCCCACCGCAUCUCGCCUGUCAUCUAGGCUGAACGAGAGAUGCGUAUGCAACUCCGUUUGCUGUCUAUCGCAGGAAGCAGUUCCUGCAGAUUCUCCCUGUGCUUUCGUCUCCUUUUUGUCUGACUCAGACCCUUAUUCCCUUCGCCAAGGCGGCAUACAGGUAUUAUUUCAAAGCGGUCUCCUCUUCUGCCCAACUUUCUCCCAUUCCGGGGUUAGCAUCCAUUAUGAGGCAGGAAUUAUUUCGAAACAAGAAAGCAACGUGUUGCAAACACUCCCCAGCCUAUUUUCUGGCAUCUUUUGUUAUGCAUGCUCUUGCUGCUAGGGAAAAUGCUAGUAUGUGCACCUGCGGAAAAAAAAACCGCCUUCAUGAUGUUAACAGCAAGCUGGAGGGUAUAAAGCAAUAAAACUGCCAAAUGUACCUGUUCCUGUUGAGUACAUUACCUACACCUAUGAAUAAAGAGUCUCAGUAGGAAUUCUUUCCUUUCUCUUCCCCUUUUCUCUAUAUUUUUAUUCAUUGUAGAUUUGUAAACGCCUGGAUCGGGUUACCCUUUCGCGUGUUAAAGUGGAACCCUUGUUAAAAGCCGGAGAACAAGGCAAGACACUUACAACUGCAUUCAGAGUUACUGAACCGACUCCAAGGGCUCAAGAAGUGAAACAACGAUGAGAGGAUGGCUAAGGGGGCUCCGAACAUCCCAGACACACAGGGGAAAAAAAAGACAUCCCUCCCCCAUGCCCCCCUGAAACAAGCCAUAUGAACUACAAGCGCCGAGAGACUACGGGUUAUGCCCUUCCACCGACAGAGCAUCGCUUCGCAUCCUCCUUCCCCCUCCUCCCCCCCCCCCCCCGCCCCUCCAACGGUAUGCGAAGAAGGGGCUUGCAUCCUUCGGCUUCCCAGAGCUAAUGGUCGGGCUGUGGGGAAGCACAACUCCAAAAUAAAGGAAGAAAUGAAAAAGAGAAAAAAAAAAUCCAGAAAGAAAAAUUAAACCCCUUAAAGUAUUUCCACACGCGACGCGUUAAAUAUAUAUAUAUAUAUAAACAUCUGCAGAAUCUGAAAACCAAUCCUCAGGGAAUGUCGCAGUGAGAGGCAAUGUCAAGACCUAGGAUCGGUCAGGGGACGUCUCUGGGCUGCGCGAGGUUUUGGAAGCAGCGGCUGCUGGUACCGGUGUUGGUUUUCAAAGCCCGAAGCCUCCAGCCCCUUUCCCCAUCUAGAGCAACUUUCAGAUUUCUCUAGGCUUAGCGAGUCCCGCAGGGUCCU